rnacentral:tRNA from 1 species
GUGCCCAUAGCUCAGCUGGAUAGAGCACCGGCCUUCUAAGCCGGGGGUCGUGGGUUCGAGUCCCGCUGGGCGCG